rnacentral:rRNA from 1 species
GACGUAGGGCGCGAGCGUUGCCCGGAUUUAUUGGGCGUAAAGAGCUCGUAGGCGGCUUGUUGCGUCGACCGUGAAAACCCGGGGCUCAACUUCGGGCUUGCGGUCGAUACGGGCGGGCUAGAGUUCGGUAGGGGAGACUGGAAUUCCUGGUGUAGCGGUGAAAUGCGCAGAUAUCAGGAGGAACACCGGUGGCGAAGGCGGGUCUCUGGGCCGAUACUGACGCUGAGGAGCGAAAGCGUGGGGAGCGAACAGG